GCCAGUGUAGCUCAGCCGGUAGAGCAACUGAUUCGUAAUCAGUAGGUCGGGGGUUCAACUCCCCCUGCUGGCU
rnacentral:tRNA from 1 species